AUGAUUUCUUGUAUGCAAGCUACUACAAUGGGAAACUGCCACCCUUUCUCUUGUGUGUCUGGGAAUACAGGGGCUGUGAGUCCUGUAGUUCAAGUUUACAAGUUUAAAACACUGAAUUCGUUGCACUUUCAUAGGGCAAGUCUUGCCCAGCAACUUCCAGGAUGGUUUAACUGGGCCCGAGGCACUCAUGAAGAAGAGGAGGAGGAUUUCCAACAGCUCCUUGAAGGCAGCUGGUUGCCCUGGAGUGGUGUCUGCUUGUUUGGCAUCCUUCCCUGUCAGACCGAGGUGCCGACUUCCCACAGGACAGCCCAGCAGCCUCCCCAGGGAAUCAAAGAGCCAGAUUAUCCAGAAUGGGCAAGCUGCACCAAGUCAAGGGUUUGGUUUUGUUUUUAUCCAGACUUGUCCCAGUCAGCACCAGGAACUGCCAACGGGUGCAUCUCAUCAAUAAAAGCAGGCUAG
rnacentral:lncRNA from 1 species